UUGAACGCUGGCGGCAUGCCUUACACAUGCAAGUCGAACGGCAGCACGGACUUCGGUCUGGUGGCGAGUGGCGAACGGGUGAGUAAUAUAUCGGAACAUACCCUAGAGUGGGGGAUAACGUAGCGAAAGUUACGCUAAUACCGCAUACGCACUAAGGUGGAAAGUGGGGGAUCGCAAGACCUCAUUCUCAUGGAGUGGCCGAUAUCUGAUUCGCUCGUUGGUGAUGUAAAGGCUCACCAAGGCGACGAUCAGUAGCUGGGUUGAGAGAAAGACCAGCCAAACUGGAACUGAGACACGGUCCAGACUCCUACGGGAGGCAGCAGUGGGGAAUUUUGGACAAUGGGCGCAAGCCUGAUCCAGCAAUGCCGCGUGAGUGAAGAAGGCCUUCGGGUUGUAAAGCUCGUUUGUCAGGGAAGAAACGGCAUCCUCUAAUACAGGGUGCUAAUGACGGUACCUGAAGAAUAAGCACCGGCUAACUACGU
rnacentral:rRNA from 1 species